AUGCCAAAUGGGAUUUUGAUCUUCAAACAGCAGAUUUCACUGUCCUAUAUUCAGCCCUUGAUGCCCUCUCCACUGACUUCAUUGCUUCAUGCUCAGCCCAGCAGGUGCCUGGCUCUCUGUUUUCUCCCUGAGAUUGGGUGCAACACUCCAAGAGCCAUUUCCAGAUCAAGAGCUCUUCUUCUCCUUCUGUGUGGCCAUUCAAUCCAGUGUGGAUACCCUAGCGCUGUCAAAGGGAGAAUGGGGAUCUGAGUCUAAGCAAAAGUGAGAAGGCA
rnacentral:lncRNA from 1 species